rnacentral:rRNA from 1 species
UACAUGCAAGUCGAACGAGGCCCUCUUCCUUCGGGAGGAGGUGUCCUAGUGGCGAACGGGUGAGUAACACGUUGGUGACCUACCCCGAAGAGGGGGACAACCCCGGGAAACUGGGGCUAAUACCCUAUGUGAUCCUAAGGAUUAGAUGCCUAAGGAUGAAAUGGAGCAAUUCGCUUCGGGAGGGGCCUGCGGCCUAUCAGCUAGUUGGUGAGGUAAUGGCUCACCAAGGCGACGACGGGUAGGGGACCUGAGAGGGUGACCCCCCACACUGGAACUGAAACACGGACCAGACACCUACGGGUGGCAGCAGUAGGGAAUAUUGCACAAUAGGCGAAAGCCUGAUGCAGCAACGCCGCGUGCGCGAUGAAGGCCUUAGGGUUGUAAAGCGCUUUUCUGGGGGAAGAGAAAGGACGGUACCCCAGGAAUAAGUCUCGGCUAACUACGUGCCAGCAGCCGCGGUAAAACGUAGGAGGCGAGCGUUAUCCGGAUUUACUGGGCGUAAAGCGCGUGCAGGCGGUUUGGUAAGUCGGACGUGAAAGCUCCCGGCUCAACUGGGAGAGGCCGUUCGAAACUACCAAGACUAGAGGGCAGCAGAGGGAGGUGGAAUUCCAGGUGUAGCGGUGAAAUGCGUAGAUAUCUGGAGGAA